rnacentral:rRNA from 1 species
CCUACGGGGGGCAGCAGUGGGGAAUAUUGGGCAAUGGAGGCAACUCUGACCCAGCAACGCCGCGUGAAUGAUGAAGGUCUUCGGAUUGUAAAGUUCUGUGAUGGGGGAUGAACACAAUGACGGUACCCCAAUAGCAAGCCACGGCUAACUACGGGCCAGCAGCCGCGUUAAUACGUAGGUGGCAAGCGUUGUCCGGAAUGACUGGGCGUACAGGGUGCGGAGGUGGUUUAGUAAGUUGUGGGUGUAAUUCCGGGGCGCAACCUCGGCGCUACCGCCAAAACUAUUAGACUUGAGUGCGGGAGAGGUAAGUGGAAUGCGUGGUGUAGCGGUGGAAUGCGUAGAUAUUAGGCAGAACACCGAGGGCGAAGGCAGCUUACUGG